AUCUACAGCCUUACCACCCUGAACACACCCGAUCUCAUCUGAUCUCAGAAGCUAAGCAUGGUUGGGUCUGGUUAGUACUUGGAUUGAAGAAAAAAAGUACUCAUUUCCCUCCUGAAAACCAAUACAGAGUUU
rnacentral:rRNA from 1 species